rnacentral:rRNA from 1 species
AACGAACGCUGGCGGCGUGCUUAACACAUGCAAGUCGAACGGAAAGGCCCUGCUUUUUUGGGGUGCUCGACUUGCCAACGGGUGAGUAACACGUGAGUAACCUGCCCUUGACUUUGGGAUAACUUCAUGAAACUUGGGCUAAUACCGGCUAGGAGCUCCUGCUGCUUGGUGGGGGUUGGAAAGUUUCGGCGGUUGGGGAUGGAAUCGCGGCUUAUCAGCUUGUUGGUGGGGUAGUGGAUUACCAAGGCUUUGACCGGUAGCCGGCCUGAGAGGGUGACCGGCCAAAUUGGGACGGAGAUGAGACCCAGACUAGUAUGGUAGGGAGGAGAGGGGAAUAGUGCAUAAUGGGAGGAGGCCUGAUGCAGCAAAGCAGCGUGCGGGAUGACGGCCAGCGGGUAGUAUACCGCUGUCGCCUGUGACGAGAUGUGAGUGACGGUAAUGGGUAAAGAAGCACCGGCUAACUACGUG